AUGGGCCUCUUCGACAGCAGCAAUGACAAGGGCAAGGGCAAGGGCACCCCCGGCGACUCGUCCUCCCGUGCUCCUCCUCCCCCUCCUCCUCCGGCGCCGGUGCGUUUCCGCCCUGGUCGCCGGCGCCUGCACAUCCCGGUGCACCAAGCGAAGUGGCACUGGGAGUACAGGCAGUCGUUGUCGUACCCCGACGUCACGCUGUUGCACCAUUGGCACCAGGAUCCGCGGCGGAUCCCGGUGCCGGCGGUUCCAUGCAGCCAGUGGGCGCACGAUGAGGAGGUGCGCCGGCGCCGCGCGCAGCUCACGCCGGAGCAGCAUCGGCUGCCUGAGUACGUCGCCGACUCUCCCAACUGGGAGGCUUGCUUCGCCCUCAAACACGAGGAGAAACGACAUUCGGGUGUCGCCGCCGUUCCCACCGCCUUCCUCACAGGUACAGCCGGAGGACAUGGAGGCGGAGGCGGAGUACCAAGCCGCCCUCGAGGAGGCCCUGCAGCACGCGCUGGAGGCUAG
rnacentral:rRNA from 1 species